UGUGACUUGUUGGGCAUCCUGAUUAUU
rnacentral:piRNA from 1 species